rnacentral:rRNA from 1 species
UACGGAGGGGGCAAGCGUUGUUCGGAGUUACUGGGCGUAAAGCGCGCGUAGGCGGUGCGGUAAGUCAGGGGUUAAAGGCUGCAGCUCAACUGCAGUAAGGCCUUUGAUACUAUCGUGCUAGAGUGUCAGAGAGGAUGGCGGAAUUCCCGGUGUAGGAGUGAAAUCCGUAGAUAUCAGGAGGAACACCGGUGGCGAAGGCGGCCACCUGGACAGGUAUCGACGCUGAGGCGCGAAAGUGUGGGGAGCAAACAGG